AAUAUUGGUCAAUGGAGGCAACUCUGAACCAGCCACGUCGCGUGAAGGAAGACGGCCCUACGGGUUGAAAACUUCUUUUAUACAGGAAUAAAGUGAGUCACGUGUGACUUUUUGCAUGUACUGUAUGAAUCAGGAUCGGAUAACUCCGUGCCAGCGUCCGCGGUAAUACGGAGGAUCCAAGCGUUAUCCGGAUUGUUCGGGUUUAAAGGGUGCGCAGGCGGAAGAUUAAGGCGGCGGUGAAAUUUUGCAGCUCAACUGUAAAAGUGCCAUCGAUCCUGGUUUUCUUGAGUGUGGAUGAAGUAGGCGGAAUUUGUGGUGUAGCGGUGAAAUGCAUAGAUAUCACGAGGAACUCCGAUUGCGCAGGCAGCUUACUAGGCCAUAACGGACGCUCAGGCACGAAGGCGUGGGGAUCAAACAGG
rnacentral:rRNA from 1 species